UGUGGGCUGUCCCAGCACCAGCACCGCCAGGCCUUGUGCAGCAAACCAGGGUCAUCAGGGAGGGAAUGAGGCAGCCCAAGGAGGCGGGAGACGGGGCCCUCUCCAGCCCCCAGCGGUCCCCACCGACCCGGUUGCCCACAGGAUAUCACCGCCCCCAUCCCAGGGCCCACCAGAACCAACAGGGAGAGAGAGGCAGAGGGAAGCUGGGGUCCACCGCUGGUGAGCGGGGAGGGGACGGGACACAGAACCGGCCGUGGCCCACCCCGAGACGGAGGCGCAGACACCAGGCCCGUUCUGUGCUCUGGAGGCUUUGGGCAGCUGUCAGGCUAGUGGACGGUGUGCAGAGCAGAUGGAGGCGUGAGGAGGCGGCUCCGGGGUCACCUAGGUUCAGCAGGGACAGAGCUCAGGGGGAAGGCACCUCCCGUCUUGGUUCAAUACAUGGACCCCUGACCCUGGGAAAGGGACUGAGCCAGGGGAGGCCUCAGGUCACUGCACCAUGAAGUUGUGGGGAGCUGCGGGGGCCUCUGGGCUCCGAGCUGGGCAGGCACAGCGUGGGGACCACGUGCUGAGGGGAAGAAGCGUGCCAGGGUGGAUGUCUCAGUGCACACACAGGAACGUGAAAUGGCUGAGCCGGCCCAGAGAGGCAGCGGAGCGUGUGCGGGGUGGCCGGCGGAGAAGCAGCAGGAUCCCAGGCGGGAGGGCACGGCCUUCUGAGAGGCAGGUUGCAGGACAAUACUCAGUGUUUUGAUCCAGGAGGUCCUAUUAGGGCGUUUCAUUGAUAAACGCACAUUUGAGGUGGAGGGUGGCCAGUGUAGAAUGUGCCUGGCAGCUUUCACAGCAAAGGAGAAUUCUAGAACCAACCGAAGUGCCCCUCUGAAGGGAGCUGGUCCCGUCCGUUCCAGCCGCCGUGGAGUAACACAGCCAGCAGUUUCCCUCCUGCCACGAAAGCUCGAGACUGAAACUCAGGAUGAACUGUUUUCAGCCCGGGUCACCCCAGCCCUGGGGUGGAGGCCCAUUGAGGAUGGCCGAGCAGGGGCGGGCAUCCAGGCAGGUCCAGCAGUCCUGGCGGGCUGAGGAGAAGGAGGUCAGGGCUCAGGGAGGCAUCCGCAGAGGGACCUGGCAGGCAGAGCUCCGGAAAGGAGGGAACUGCACAGACAGAAAGCUCCAGAAGGCUGCCUGAGGGUCUCUGAGGCCUCCGGAGUCGGGCGCCAUGCAUGUGGAAGGUGGACUUUCAGCAUGGGUGGGACCCUAGGGGGCUGUGGACCCCCGGCCCCUGGGACUCACAGGUGGGAGACAG
rnacentral:lncRNA from 1 species